UACGUAGGGUGCAAGCGUUGUCCGGAAUUAUUGGGCGUAAAGAGCUCGUAGGCGGCUUGUUGCGUCGGCUGUGAAAACCCGCAGCUCAACUGUGGGCUUGCAGCCGAUACGGGCAGGCUUGAGUUCGGUAGGGGAGACUGGAAUUCCUGGUGUAGCGGUGAAAUGCGCAGAUAUCGGGAAGAACACCCGUGGCGAAGGCGGCUCUCUGGGACGGUACUGACGCUGAGACGCGAAAGCGUGGGGAGCGAACAGG
rnacentral:rRNA from 1 species